GUUUCAUAUAACCAUUAGUUGUCUUCUGCAUGUUCUUUCAUUGCAUCAUUAGAGUUUGUAUCAUUAAGCCUAUUCUCAUCUUGGUUGGUGUGUUGCAAUGGUGGAGGAGAUGAUUACUUUAGAUGAUAAUUGUACUUGGGAUUUAGUUUCUCUCCCUGCACGAAAAAAGUAUAUCAGUUGCAAAUGGGUGGUUACAAUUAAAGUUAAUCCUGAUGGUUUUGUCGCUCAAUUAAAAGUACACCUUGUAGUGAAAGGCUACGCACAAACAUGGCGUUAACUAUGCUGAUACUUUUUCUCGAGUAGUAAAAAUGACAUUUGUGAGGUUGUUUAUUUCACUAACUUCAAUCAGUCACUGGCCUUUACAUCAGCUUGAUAUUUUUGAAAAGGAGGUGUAAUUAUGAGUCAAUAAAAAGGACCUGAUCAUGUUGAGGAAGGAGACCCAACCUUGUCUGGUUUCUCAUGAGUAGAUGGAUGAAGGAUUGUAUUCCAGAGAAGUUUCGAGCAACACACCUCAGAAACCAAUCAGAUGGGGUUCAGAAUUUGGAUAGCUUUGUUGUUUCGGUUUCAUCACUCGCAUAUUUGUUGAAAAACUUCCAGUUUGGUUCUUUUACAAGAACAUCUAUUGAAUCAAUGAACCACUCUAAUUGGAUCUUGGAUAAAGUGAGGAUUUUUUGGAAGUCUACAUUUUCAAUAUUGAACCUCCCUUUUUUGAACUAGAUACAGUAGAAAGUGUCUACCAUUUUUCAACUUUUGACUUCCAUUUCUGAAAAAGAUGGAGUUACUCCCCGGGUUUGGCGUUGCCGGCGACGUUACCGUGAGAAGGUGCGGCCGGAAUGAAGAGAGAAGAGGGUGGGUGAGAGGAGAGGAGAGGUUCAAUAUUUGUUUCCAACUUUUUUACAUCAACUUGAUAUUAAAAGUGCAUUUUGUUAGGAUCCCACCUAAUAAGGAUUACCUCAAGAAGAAAAGAUGAACUCAAGAAUACUUAAAAAACAUCCAAACAUGAAAUAUAUAUUAGAAGAUCUUAGUAACAAGUAACAAGUAACCCUAGCCUUUUGAGAGGGUUAGACUCUCCUAAGGUUCCCUUACAAGGAAAACUUUCUCAAAAUUCUUCACCUCUCUCCAACCCCUCUCCCACUAUUUAUAACAAAAAGAACUAACCAACUUACCAUCUAUUUACUAUAUGACCUUACUAACAACCAUUUUCAUUUUCUCCUAAUAAUCCACUAUUUUUCUAUCUAGGGUCCUUACAUUACUCCGCCCUUCGAAGACACCUUGUCCUCAAGGUGUGCUUACAAACUACAAACCUUGAACUCUCUACCAUACCCCUGCCAUCUCGGAAGAAAUUUUAUUCAGCUUUGCCUUGAAAUUCUAUUGGGUUGUAAUAAUUACACUUGCAUGCAUCCAACCCUUUAGACUCCAAGAACUUCCCCAAUCUUCAUUCUUCUCACACGGAAAGUGAUCCCAAUUAACCAACUGCCAUUCCCUGAGCCUAAUUCCAUGCCACUUGCAUUUUAAUUUGAAGCUCUUCCUCUCUAAUGGGCUAAGCCCACAAUUAACUUUAUGACCCCAUCCCCAAAUCAAUUUCACGGCCCAUACACCAUCUUUCUUAGAAUUACCAAUGAGCUUCAGGCAAUUCCUAUCCAUUUUCAAGUUACAUUUCAGCCACACUAACAAAUGGGUCUCAAUGAAUUUAGCAAAUUCAAGCACAUUAAUUUCCUUUCUUUCUUUAUGAAGGCUGUAUUUCUUUGUUAUCAUCUCAUGUUUGGCCCACCAUCCAUAUUCCAAUAGGAUUUCCACUUCCUUAGAUAAAGCCGUCAAUUUAUUUUUCUUUGAGGUAUAAUGGGCCUCAUCCCUUACUUUUGCAAUCAGCCCAAAAAGCAACAUUUUGGCCCACUUUUGAUUAAAUUCUUUCCCUAAUUUCCAUCCCACGUGAUAUACUUUAACCAUUGAGGUUUGCAUGUGCCAAUCCUUCUCCUAGCCUCCACUUUGUUUUCCUGGCCAUUUAUUAGGAAUUUGAUCCCCAAUUUCUCCACCUAAGCCAAGCCCAUUUGAGAAAAUCUGGCCCUUUUCAUUUAAUUUCAGCCCACUAAACAAAUCAUAACUACUAUUGUCUCUAAUUUUUCGCCUUAACGUCUGACGCUUCACGUGGGUUGAAGAAUCGUUUUUCUUCAAGAAAUCUUCCCCCUCCUUUCUGAAUUUUUUUUGUCCGUAGCUGCUCACUCCCUCUGCAAAUAUCAAAGCAUUCUUCCCGACAAUUUCCGAUCUCACUUGCAGCCUCGUUGCUAUCCGCGUUCCGACAAACUCCCUUUGUGCCUUAGGUCGACUACCUCCAACGCACCCUGUCUCCAUCUCCUCUUCCUGUAACUGGACUUUUCGACAAUCCAUCUUCUUCUUUUUUUGGCCACCGGUGACCGACUCAGAAUCUUUCCUCCGCCGCGGUUUCUGUUCAUCCCCGCCUCGAUUUUCUGUCACAACCCAAUAUGUUUCCAUUCGCCAGCCUCUCUAUGAUCCCUGUACUAAUUCCAUUGCCAUUUUCUUCCUUGUCGUUACCCAUUCUAUCUUACUCCGAUGACCUUCGAAAUUCCUUUAUUCAUCUUCUUCAUUGCCUAGCUUCCACAUCCCUUCCCUACUUUGAUAUAACUCGCAUGCCACAAAAGAAAGGCAAGGAAAGUAACGUACCUCAACAAAAUCUUGGCCUAUAUAUAUGAUCAGCCUCUCAAUGUUGCCACUCCAAUGAGCCGUUUCUUCUAUUUUCACAGAUCGUAUCCAGGUCGACUUGUUCCACAUAGGGUCCUUACACAUUUCUUCAUGGUGAUCCUCAAGAAGGGGUGUAUAUGGAGCAACCACUAGGGUUUGUUGCUCAGGGGAAGAAUGGAAAGGCGUGUCGCCUUUGUAAAUCUUUGGAUGGACUAAAACAUAGUCCACAGGCUUGGUUUGGAAAAUUUAUUAAGGUGAUCGAAAGUUUUGGAAUGCAAAAGAGCACGUUAGAUCAUUCAAUCUUUUUUAAAAGAUCCGAGAGUGGGGUGAUCCUAAUCGUAGUAUAUGUUGAUGCAAUUGUGGUUGUUGGUGAUGAUGCUUUAGAUGUCCAGUCCCUGAAGACUUUUCUCUAUUGCCAAUUCCAAAUAAAAGAUUUGAGCAUGUUGAAAUACCUCCUAGGAAUUUGAGGUAAAAACAGGCAAGAAAGCAAUACUAUUAUCACAGAGAAAAUAUGGACUUGUUGACUGAAACAUGGAAGGUAGGUGCCAAGCCAUGUAGUACCCCAACGAUGCCUAACUUAUAGCUCACAAAAGAUGGAGAAUUGUUGAAAGAUCUUCAAAGAUAUAGGAGGUUAGAGGGAAAACUUAAUUACCUUCCAGCGAAUCGACUCGACAUAGCCUAUUUAGUGAGUAUUAUGAGCCAGUGUAUGUCAUGCCCUAAAGUUGAUCAUUCAGCUGCUUUGGAAUGAUUCAGUGUUAUCUGAAGGCUGCUCUCGGGCAUGAUUUUAUUAUAUAAGGAUUAUAGUCAUACUAAUAUUGAAUGUUUCUCAGAUGUUAAUUGGUAAAAUCUAAAGAAGACAAAAGAUCAACUUCAGGAUAUUUUGUUUUUGUUGGUGGCAAUUUGAUGUCUUGGAAAAGUAAGAAACAAAAUGUGGUGUCACAUUCAAGUGCAUAAUAAAAAAUAUAGAGCAAUUGCACAGUUUUUGUGUGAAUUGGAUAUAUCAAAUUGAUUUGGAUAUAUCAA